CUAUGAGCCACCUACCAAUGUGAUGCGGACAUGAAAAAGGCUAACGCAAUCCUAGGAUUCAUCAGGCAAGGUUAUUCACAGACCAGUGGGUUUUCCGGCUAAUACAGGUCCUGAUGCUCUUCUGUCUUUACACAUGGUAUUCAUCAUAUCUUGACAAGAAAAGACCUUCAGUCUACAAAUAACCUUCACUGAAGUAAGACAUGAGAUGUGCUAUCAUCAGACUAACUGCCAAACUUAGCUUCAAAAGCCAUUUUUCACAUCUAAGGCCCGAUUCUGCCAGCUAUUCCAUGCGAGCAGACUCCUGCAACCACAUGGAAUCACCACCAUUGUAAGGUUCUGCAUACAUGAAGCAGUUUUCAGCAUCAGGACCCAGACGUGCAAAACAAAUGAGAGAAAAGAAAGACGCCCAAUGAGCACAUGUACUGCUGCUACUUCACUUCUGUUGGAACAUUUGUAAGAAAGAGAAUCAUCUGUUCUGAUCUGAUAUAUUGUACAUUGUUUUUCAAACCAGAGCCUAUUUU